AACCAACAGGGAUUACCUCAGUAACGGCGAGUGAAGCGGUAACAGCUCAAAUUUGAAAUCUGGGCCCCUUGGGCCCCGAGUUGUAAUUUGUAGAAGAUGCUUCGGGUGCGGCACUGGUCUAAGUUCCUUGGAACAGGACGUCAUAGAGGGUGAGAAUCCCGUAUGUGAUCGGCUGCUUGCGCCCAUGUGAAGCUCUUUCGACGAGUCGAGUUGUUUGGGAAUGCAGCUCAAAAUGGGUGGUAUAUUUCAUCUAAAGCUAAAUAUUGGCCAGAGACCGAUAGCGCACAAGUAGAGUGAUCGAAAGAUGAAAAGCACUUUGGAAAGAGAGUUAAACAGUACGUGAAAUUGUUGAAAGGGAAGCGCUUGCGACCAGACUUGCGCGUUGCCGAUCAUCCGGGGUUCUCCCCGGUGCACUCGGCCUCGCUCAGGCCAGCAUCGGUUUUGGUGGCUGGAUAAAGGCCUUGGGAAUGUAGCUUCUCUCGGGGAGUGUUAUAGCCCUCGGUGCAAUGCAGCCUACCGGGACCGAGGACCGCGCUUCGGCUAGGAUGCUGGCGUAAUGGUCGUAAGCGACCCGUCUUGAAACACGGACCAAGGAGUCUAACAUCUAUGCGAGUGUUUGGGUGUCAAACCCAUGCGCGGAAUUAACGUGAACGGAGGUGAGAACCCUGAAGGGUGCAUCACCGACCGGUCCUGAUGUCUUCGGAUGGAUCUGAGUAAGAGCAUAGCUGUUGGGACCCGAAAGAUGGUGAACUAUGCCUGAAUAGGGUGAAGCCAGAGGAAACUCUGGUGGAGGCUCGCAGCGGUUCUGACGUGCAAAUCGAUCGUCAAAUUUGGGUAUAGGGGCGAAAGACUAAUCGAACCAUCUAGUAGUGGGUUCCCUCCGAUC
rnacentral:rRNA from 1 species